rnacentral:rRNA from 1 species
UGGGGAAUCUUGCACAAUGGGGGCAACCCUGAUGCAGCGACGCCGCGUGAGCGAUGGAGCCCUUCGGGGCGUAAAGCUCUUUCGACCGGAACGAUAAUGACGGUACCGGGAGAAGAAGCUGCGGCUAACUACGCGCCAGCAGCCGCGGUAAUACGUAGGCAGCAAGCGUUGUUCGGAGUUACUGGGCGUAAAGAGUGCGUAGGCGGUUUUCUAAGUUCGGUGUGAAAUCUCCCGGCUUAACUGGGAGGGUGCGCCGAAGACUGGGAAGCUGGAGUGUGGGAAAGGCAGGCGGAAUUCCUGGUGUAGCGGUGAAAUGCGUAGAUAUCAGGAGGAACACCGGCGGUGUAGACGGCUUGCUAGACCAUAACUGACGCUGAGGCACGAAAGCGUGGGUAGCAAAC